rnacentral:rRNA from 1 species
UCAGGUUGAUCCUGCCGGACCUGACUGCUAUCUGAUUGGUACUAAGCCAUGCGAGUCGUUGUACAAUACAAGGCGGACUGCUCAGUAACACGUAGUUAACUUAACCUAUGGAUGGGCAUAACCUCGGGAAAACUGAGAAUAAUACCCAAUGGACCACAGUGCCUGGAAUGGCCUGUGGUUGAAAUGAUUUAUCGCCGUAGGAUAGGACUGCGGCCUAUCAGCUUGUUGGUGAGGUAAUGGCCCACCAAGGCUAUAACCGGUACGGGCUCUGAGAGGAGGGGCCCGGAGAUGGGUACUGAGACACGGACCCAGGCCCUAUGGGGCGCAGCAGGCGAGAAACCUUUGCAAUGUGCGAAAGCACGACAAGGUUAAUCCGAGUGUCUCCUGCUAAAGGAGUCUUUUGUCAGUUGUAGAAUCACUGGCGAAUAAGGGGUGGGCAAGUUCUGGUGUCAGCCGCCGCGGUAAAACCAGCACCUCGAGUGGUCAGGAGGUUUAUUGGGCCUAAAGCAUCCGUAGCCGGUUGCAUAAGUUUUCGGUUAAAUCUAUGCGCUCAACGUAUAGGCCGCCGAAAAUACUGUGC